ACAGCAAGAAAAAUAAGGGACUUUCAGGGGCAGCUGUGUUUUCUGACUCAAGUCAUAAUGCCCCUAAAAAUCCUUAUUGCUCUUGCAGUGGGC
rnacentral:pre_miRNA from 12 species